AACGAACGCUGGCGGCAUGCCUAACACAUGCAAGUCGAACGAGACCUUCGGGUCUAGUGGCGCACGGGUGCGUAACGCGUGGGAACCUGCCCUUAGGUUCGGAAUAACUCUCCGAAAGGGGUGCUAAUACCGGAUAAUGUCUUCGGACCAAAGAUUUAUCGCAUUUGGAUGGGCCCGCGUUGGAUUAGCUUGUUGGUAGGGUAAAAGCCUACCAAGGCGACGAUCCAUAGCUGGUCUGAGAGGAUGAUCAGCCACACUGGGACUGAGACACGGCCCAGAAUCCUACGGGAGGCAGCAGUGGGGAAUGUUGGACAAUGGGCGAAAGCCUGAUCCAGCAAUGCCGCGUGAGUGAUGAAGGCCUGAGGGUUGUAAAGCUCUUUUACCCGGGAUGAUAAUGACAGUACCGGGAGAAUAAGCUCCGGCUAACUCCGUG
rnacentral:rRNA from 1 species